rnacentral:rRNA from 1 species
GACGAAGGGGGCUAGCGUUGUUCGGAAUUACUGGGCGUAAAGCGCGUGUAGGCGGUUGUUCAAGUCAGGUGUGAAAGCCUUGAGCUCAACUCAAGAAAUGCACUUGAUACUGGAUGACUAGAGGACCGGAGAGGAUAGUGGAAUUCCCAGUGUAGUGGUGAAAUACGUAGAGAUUGGGAAGAACACCAGUGGCGAAGGCGGCCUGCUGGGCAGUGGCUGACACUGAGGCGCGACAGCGUGGGAGCAACAG